rnacentral:rRNA from 1 species
UACGGAGGGGACUAGCGUUGUUCGGAAUUACUGGGCGUAAAGCGCGCGUAGGCGGACCUGCAAGUCGGGGGUGAAAGCCCGAGGCUCAACCUCGGAACUGCCUUCGAUACUGCGGGUCUCGAGUCCGGGAGAGGUGAGUGGAAUUCCUAGUGUAGAGGUGAAAUUCGUAGAUAUUAGCUAGAACACCAGUGGCGAAGGCGGCCAACUGGUCCGGUACUGACGCUGAGGUGCGAAAGCGUGGGGAGCAAACAGGG